UCAUACAAGAGACCCAAAUUAACCGUAUGCGGCGUAAAGAGUGGUCCCAUGAUAUCACAGCAACUAGGACUGAAAUGCAACUAGGCUGUCAUAAGCUCAAGAUGCACUUAAAGCCACCUUUAAAAUGAUCCUAGCAUCUCUGAUUAAUUUAACUCCACGAAAGCUAGGGCACAAACUGGGAUUAGAUACCCCAUUAUGCCUAGCCCUAAAUCUCGAUGUUUACUGUACCAAAACAUCCGCCUGAGAACUACGAGCACAAACGCUUAAAACUCUAAGGACUUGGCGGUGCCCCAAACCCACCUAGAGGAGCCUGUUCUGUAAUCGAUAACCCACGAUCCACCCGACCACCCCUCGCCAAAGCAGCCUACAUACCGCCGUCGCCAGCCCACCUCCCCUGAGAGCCCCACAGUGAGCAUAAUAGCCCAAACCCGCUAAUAAGACAGGUCAAGGUAUAGCCUAUGGGGUGGAAGAAAUGGGCUACAUUUUCUACAAUAGAAAA
rnacentral:rRNA from 1 species